rnacentral:rRNA from 1 species
UACAGAGGUGGCAAGCGUUGUUCGGAAUUACUGGGCGUAAAGGGCGCGUAGGCGGCCAUCUAAGUCAGACGUGAAAUCCCCCGGCUCAACCUGGGAACUGCGUCUGAUACUGGAUGGCUUGAGUGCGGGAGAGGGAUGCGGAAUUCCAGGUGUAGCGGUGAAAUGCGUAGAUAUCUGGAGGAACACCGGUGGCGAAGGCGGCAUCCUGGACCGACACUGACGCUGAGGCGCGAAAGCUAGGGUAGCAAACGGGAUUAGAUACCCCGGUAGUCCUAGCCCUAAACGAUGAGUGCUUGGUGUGGCGGGUAUCGAUCCCUGCCGUGCCGAAGCUAACGCAUUAAGCACUCCGCCUGGGGAGUACGGUCGCAAGGCUGAA